ACGUAGGGUGCGAGCGUUAAUCGGAAUUACUGGGCGUAAAGCGUGCGCAGGCGGUUUUGUAAGCCAGAUGUGAAAUCCCCGGGCUCAACCUGGGAAUGGCAUUUGGGACUGCAAGGCUGGAGUGUGGCAGAGGGGACUAGAAUUCCUGGUGUAGCAGUGAAAUGCGUAGAUAUCAGGAGGAAUACCGACGGCGAAGGCAGGUCCCUGGGCUAACACUGACGCUCAUGCACGAAAGCGUGGGGAGCAAACAGGAUUAGAUACCCUGGUAGUCCACGCCCUAAACGAUGUCAACUGGUUGUUGGAAGGGUUCCCUUUCAGUAACGAAGCUAACGCGUGAAGUUGACCGCCUGGGGAGUACGGCCGCAAGGUUG
rnacentral:rRNA from 1 species